rnacentral:rRNA from 1 species
UACGUAGGGUGCAAGCGUUAAUCGGAAUUACUGGGCGUAAAGCGUGCGCAGGCGGCUGUGCAAGACAGAUGUGAAAUCCCCGGGCUCAACCUGGGAACUGCAUUUGUGACUGCACAGCUUGAGUGCGGCAGAGGGGGAUGGAAUUCCGCGUGUAGCAGUGAAAUGCGUAGAUAUGCGGAGGAACACCGAUGGCGAAGGCAAUCCCCUGGGCCUGCACUGACGCUCAUGCACGAAAGCGUGGGGAGCAAACAGG